rnacentral:rRNA from 1 species
CAAUAGCGUAUAUUUAAGUUGCUGCAGUUAAAAAGCUCGUAGUUGGAUUUCGGGUGGGAAUGGCCGGUCCGCCGUUUCGGUGUGCACUUGCUACGCCCACCUUGCUGCCGGGGACGUGCUCUUGAGUUCACGCUCGGGACACGGAGUCGGCGAGGUUACUUUGAGUAAAUUAGAGUGUUCAAAGCAGGCCUACGCUCUGAAUACAUUAGCAUGGAAUAAUAAGAUAAGACUUUGGUGGUCUAUUUUGUUGGUUUGCACGCCAAAGUAAUGAUUAAUAGGGAUAGUUGGGGGUAUUCGUAUUCUAUUGCUAGAGGUGAAAUUCUUAAAUUUAUGGAAGACGAACUACUGCGAAAGCAUUUACCAAGGAUGUUUUCAUUAA